UAUUCUCUGUGGUUUUCGUUGCCAUCUUGUUGCAGCUAUCCAUGUGAUACUUCAAGCAACUUUAGAGUUCUACAAAGUGUUUUUUUUGAAAGAAAUGCAGGAGCACUUCUAUGUCAUAUAAGAACAAGCAGCAAGCAAGUUCAGUACAAGUAUUCAGGUCCUCCUAAACAAAUACGAGGCGUCGAGGGGGGCAAGGCGAUGAAGCUGUGUUUAGCUGGCCGGUCGCCCCGGGGCAAAAUUUUGAUCUGUACGGUGCCAGAAUUCAGAAGCACAUGUCCUUGUACCAUAGCUUCGUUUUUACAGGAAUAUGUUUUGAUUAGAAGCUCGACACUUGGGUUUGUAUUGAAAAAGAUUGUUCUGCACAUGUUUAAUGGCAAGUAAAUUCUUUGAAAUUUA